UACGAAGGGAACUAGCGUUGUUCGGAAUCACUGGGCGUAAAGCGCGCGCAGGCGGAUAUUCAAGUCAGGGGUGAAAUCCUGAGGCUUAACCUCAGAAUUGCCUUUGAGACUGUCUAUCUGGAGUGUGUGAGGGGGUAGCGGAAUUCCGAAUGUAGAGGUGAAAUUCGUAGAUAUUCGGAGGAACACCGGUGGCGAAGGCGGCUACCUGGCACACAACUGACGCUGAGACGCGAAAGCGUGGGGAGCAAACAGG
rnacentral:rRNA from 1 species